rnacentral:rRNA from 1 species
CUGCGUACGGGUAAGUAAUGAUAAGAUAGUGGUAUCCUGAGUACCGCGAGGUCGGAGACGCCUUGUGGGAAUUUGCCGGCACCAUCCGGUAAGGCUAAAUACUCCUGAGAGACCGAUAGUGAACCAGUACCGUGAGGGAAAGGUGAAAAGAACCCCGAACAGGGGAGUGAAAUAGAACCUGAAACCGUGUACUUACAAGCGGUCGGAGCCCCCAUGUGGGGUGACGGCGUGCCUUUUGCAUAAUGAGCCUACGAGUUACUCUUCACUGGCAAGGUUAAGUGUUUAAGACACGCAGCCGAAGCGAAAGCGAGUCUGAAUAGGGCGUAUAGUCAGUGGAGGUAGACGCGAAACCUUGUGAUCUACCCAUGGACAGGUUGAAGGUGCCGUAACAGGUACUGGAGGACCGAACCGAUAAACGUUGAAAAGUUUCCGGAUGAUCUGUGGGUAGGGGUGAAAGGCUAAUCAAACUGGGAAAUAGCUCGUACUCCCCGAAAUGUUUUUAGGAACAGCCUGGCGGUUGAGUUAUAAAGAGGUAGAGCUACUAAUUGGGUGCGGGGGAGUCAAAUCCUACCAAAUCCAGAUAAACUCCGAAUGCUUUAUAAUAUACGCUGGAGUGAGGCUAUGGGUGCUAAGGUCCAUGGCCGAGAGGGAAAGAACCCAGACCAUCAGCUAAGGUCCCCAAAUUACCAUUAAGUUGAACUAACGAGGUCCGAUUGCACAGACAGCUAGGAUGUUGGCUUGGAAGCAGCCAUUCAUUUAAAGAGUGCGUAACAGCUCACUAGUCGAGCGAUCGGGCAUGGAUAAUAAACGGGCAUUAAAUGGUAUACCGAAGCUAUGGAUUACAUCUAACGAUGUACUGGUAGGGGAGCAUUCUACCGACGGCGAAGCAGGAGCGGCAAGCAACUGUGGAGUUGGUAGAAAAGCAAAUGUAGGCAUAAGUAACGAUAAGGCGGGAGAGAAACCCGCCCACCGAAAGACUAAGGUUUCCUGAUCAACGCUAAUCGGAUCAGGGUUAGUCGGGGCCUAAGGUGAAGCCGAAGGGCGUAGCCGAUGGACAACUGGUUAAUAUUCCAGUACUUUUUAUAAUUGUGAUGCAGUGACGGAGUAGUGAAACUGGCGCGAACUGACGGAAUAGUUCGUUAAAGGCCGUAGGUAUAGGAGACGUAGUUAAGUACGCGACUUCUGCUGAAAGCCGAUAGUACCGCAAACCUUCGGGGGCGUGGAUAGUCCAGGUAAUCAGGCUUCCAAGAAAACCUGCUAAACUUCAGGUUAUAAAAACCCGUACCGUAAACCGACACAGGUAGUCGAGGAGAGAAUCCUAAGGUGCUCGAGUGAAUCAUGGCUAAGGAACUCGGCAAAAUGGCCCUGUAACUUCGGGAGAAGGGGCGCUGGCAGCAAUGCUAGCCGCAGUGAAAAGGCCCAGGCGACUGUUUAACAAAAACACAUGGCUUUGCAAAAUCGAAAGAUGACGUAUAAGGCCUGACACCUGCCCGGUGCCGGAAGGUUAAGAGGGGGGCUUAGCGUAAGCGAAGGUCUGAAUCGAAGCCCCGGUAAACGGCGGCCGUAACUAUAACGGUCCUAAGGUAGCGAAAUUCCUUGUCGGGUAAGUUCCGACCCGCACGAAAGGCAUAACGAUCUGGGCGCUGUCUCGACGAGGGCUCCGGCGAAAUUGAAAUACCCGUGAAGAUACAGGUUACCCGCAGCAGGACAAAAAGACCCCGUGGAGCUUUACUACAACUUGACAUUGGACUAGGCGUUUAGAUGCGUAGGAUAGGU